rnacentral:lncRNA from 1 species
GGGACGGAUUCUGGGCGCGUGCGGUGUUCAACAUUAUCGAUCACCUGUGGACCAUCAAAAGCCUGCUCCCAGGUCAUCUUUAUCGUCUUCCUCAGUGGAGUGCUUCCUGUGUUAAUGUCCACAAUAGCCCCAGAGGUCUCUGCUGUUUCCUCCUGAUUUCUCCAAACAACCAUGUCAUCAGAAUCGAGCAAAAAACGGAAGCCCAAAGUGAUCCGGAGUGAUGGAGCUCCAGCUGAAGGGAAGCGUAAUCGUUCUGACACUGAGCAGGAAGGUAAAUACUACAGCGAGGAGGCUGAGGUGGACCUGCGGGACCCUGGCAGAGACUAUGAGCUGUACAAGUACACGUGUCAAGAGUUGCAGAGGCUCAUGGCUGAGAUCCAGGACCUGAAAAGCAGGGGAGGCAAGGAUGUGGCCAUUGAGAUUGAAGAUCGGAGGAUCCAGAGCUGUGUACAUUUCAUGACUCUAAAGAAGCUUAACCGAUUAGCCCACAUCAGGUUGAAGAAAGGAAGAGAUCAGACCCAUGAGGCCAAGCAGAAAGUGGAUGCCUAUCACCUGCAGCUCCAGAACCUGUUGUAUGAGGUGAUGCACCUGCAGAAGGAGAUCACCAAAUGUCUGGAGUUUAAGUCAAAGCAUGAAGAAAUUGACCUGGUCAGCUUGGAGGAGUUUUAUAAGGAGGCUCCUCCAGAUAUCAGUAAAGCCGAAGUCACCAUGGGAGACCCUCACCAGCAAACUCUUGCACGUCUGGACUGGGAGCUGGAGCAGCGGAAAAGGCUGGCAGAGAAGUACCGAGAGUGCUUAUCCAACAAGGAGAAGAUCCUCAAGGAGAUUGAGGUGAAGAAGGAGUACCUGAGCAGCCUCCAGCCCCGACUCAACAGCAUCAUGCAGGCUUCCCUCCCAGUGCAAGAGUACCUGUUUAUGCCCUUCGACCAGGCUCACAAGCAGUAUGAGACAGCCAGACACCUACCACCUCCCCUCUAUGUCCUCUUUGUCCAGGCCACUGCAUAUGGGCAGGCCUGUGGUGAGUAUGGGGUCUGGGCAGGGAAGAGGGGCUAUGGGAGCAGCAGCCAUGGCCAUUUGAGUCAUUUGGAAGCACUGCCUGCUGAGGAAAGCUUCCUGGCCCUGCUCCAAAGUCCUCAGGUGACAGACGCUGCCUCCCCUCUGCACUGCCCAGCAUGGCUGCUUUGACCAGCUGGCCUGAGGCUGGACUAACCUGAUGGGCAUUUUAGAAUGGAUGGCUUUGUAUCUUUGAUGAGCCUGACUUGUCAGCUAUUGGGUUCUGUGCCCAGGCAGCCUGUCUGGGCUCCCAAGUGCUCACCUCAUAAAGGCACGCUUGGCAGGUGGAUCGGUGCCUCUUGCUUGCUUCAGAGAGAGGGAUUGGUGACCAUAGGUCCCCAGCAGCUCUCCCAGGCUUUCGCCCCCUGGAGCAGGUUGCAUGUCCUUAUAGUAAAUUACCAGGGCAAAAGAUGUGUCCUCACUAAGCUUGAAGGCAGCCUGUGACUCCACUAGGAUUUUGAGAAGCUCGGAGACCCUAUCUCUUUCUCCCUACUGCAGCUUUCACCCAGCACCUAAACUUUUCUUCCCUACCUCCAGCCCCACUCCACAGCAUCAGGCAGAUACAUUGCACCAGCGCAUGCCUCUCCUCCCAGCCAUGAGCAUCAGCACAUUAUUGUCUCUCUUCUUGUGUCUUUCUGGUCCUUUUGGCCCUCUCCCUCCCCUUUGUUCUCCCUCCUGUUUUCAUCAUCAGCUCAUAUGAAAUCCUCCCAGCCCCCUAGACAGGGUGAGUAAUUUUCUUUUCUUCUGUGUUUUAAAUCCAGCCUGUUUGAAUUCCCAUUUUACUGUAGAAUUUCAGGAGUAAACUAGUCUUGUCAGUGUUUGGGGCAAUCAGAUUGUUUGGGAUGAGGUAUGAUGAUUCAGGCAGGGCUGUCAGAGAUAAGCAGUGGUCAGCCACCUGGGAUUAUUAUCGCAGGGGCCUGCCACUUGGGUGAAGUUUGUCAUCCCUCCAUAUGCACUUAGGCAAACUCUUUUAGGCCCCUGUGACAGUCUGCAUAUCUGUGUACCUUUUUGAAUGGAGCUGGAAGGUUGAUGGCCUGUCUGACCGCUAAACCCAUGGAGUUGCACAAAGACAGGCCCACACAUCACUUAGCGAGGUUCAGGCUGGGCACAGGGAGCAGGCUGCUUAGCUUUAUGUUUGAGACACCAAGCUCAAGUUGAAUAGACCUGGUCUUGAAUCCUAGUUAAUCUAGUUCACAGUGGUUGUAUCUAACUUCCCCAAGCCUUAAUUUUCUCAUCUGUAAAUGGCUAGAGUAGUAGUAUUGCUUUUAUAGGGUUGUUGUGAGAAUUAAAUAUUAAUUUUAAGAGUAAUUUUAUAAUUAAAAUUAUGAGUAUGCAUUCAGUCCUCAUUACCCAGCUGGACAGCUACCAUUUGUCAAGUCCUCUUUUUUUUUUUUUUUUGCCACCAAAAAAAAAAAAAAAGGCAGUCGGCAGAAUUGUGCCAUGUGGCUUUAGGCCAUUGGUGGUGUGGAUUUUAGUAUUUUAGUGCCUUGAUGUAAGCCCGAAAAGAGAAGCAUUCACUACUACUCUAGGGUAACGCUUGGCCAUUAAUCUGCACUUUGGGUUCUUUGUUCUAAGUAAAUGAUGGAAGGAAGACUUAGCUUUCCCCUUCUUGCUCUUCUUCAUCUGGAGAAAGGGCUUUGGCCCUCUAGCCCCAGUUAGUAAGGAGCUGUGACAGGCGGAGGGGAUAGAGCCGCCGGGCCAGCCUGCUGGCCUAGCUCAGUGCCUUCUCUCAGCAGCUUUCACAGGAAGCUCUCUCUUACUCCCAGAUAAGACGCUGUCUGUGGCGAUAGAAGGCAGCGUGGACGAAGCCAAGGCUCUAUUCAAGCCUCCUGAGGACUCCCAAGGUAACUCAGUGGUCAGGGUCUUCCCUGUGUCUUCCUAGCUGGUUCCAGGGACACCAGGUCACUGCCCAGGGCCAGUGCUGGUCCUUUGGAAAUUAGCUGUACUGGUUUGUUGUAGCCAGGAGCAUGGCUUUAAUGUCUCAGUGCAGGGUAGGCAGGGGAAAACCACUGCCUUUGAAUUCCAGCCUGCCACUCACUAGCUCAUUGACCCUGGGGAAGCUCCUUAACAUUUUGGAGCUUCAGUUGACUCAUGUCAAAACAAGAUAUUAAUACCUCAUGUAGAAUCUUUAUGUGGAUUAAAUAGGUCAUGCAUGUAGAGCACAUAGCAACCCCCCAAAUUAUAUGAGCUGCUUUUAUUGUUGUUUUUAUUGCCAUUCUUAUUACCACCGUCACCAUCAGUGGAGGAGCUCGUGGGCCAUAGAAUGACAUUAAAAAGCACUUCAAAAAACCAGGGGUGAUGGAAUUGUAAGCCAUUUUUCUUUUCUUUGUAUCACCGUAUUUUCUGUACUGAAUAAGAAGCAGCAAAUUCAUUUAUUACUAUUUCUGAAGAAAUCCAUUUACAAAAGUCUGGGCCCUUUUACGCCCUUGGGGAUGAGAUGCUCCUGGGAGAAUUGGGAGCCCUCUCCCCUAGCUGCCUUCUUUCUGUGGCUGCAGAUGACGAGAGCGACUCGGAUGCUGAGGAGGAACAGACCACGAAACGCCGGCGACCCACUCUGGGAGUUCAGCUGGACGACAAACGCAAGGAGAUGCUGAAGAGGCACCCGCUGUCCGUCAUGCUGGACCUGAAAUGCAAAGAUGACAGUGUCCUGCACCUGACUUUCUACUACCUCAUGAACCUCAACAUCAUGACAGUAAAAGCCAAAGUGACAACCGCCACAGAGCUGAUCACCCCCAUCAGUGCAGGUGACUUGCUGUCUCCUGACUCAGUCCUAAGCUGUCUGUAUCCUGGGGAUCAUGGAAAGAAAACUCCAAAUCCAGCCAAUCAGUAUCAGUUUGACAAAGUUGGCAUCCUGACUUUGAGAGACUACGUACUUGACCUAGGUCACCCCUAUUUGUGGGUGCAGAAGCUGGGUGGUCUCCACUUCCCCAAAGAGCAGCCCCAGCACACUGUGGUCGCUGACCACUCGCUGAGCGCCAGCCACAUGGAGACCACCAUGAAGCUGCUGAAGACCAGGGUGCAGUCCCGCCUGGCCCUCCACAAGCAGUUUGCCUCCCUGGAACAUGGCAUCGUGCCAGUUACCAGUGAUUGCCAGUACCUCUUCCCUGCAAAGGUCGUCUCUCGCCUGAUGAAGUGGGUGGCAAUUGCCCAUGAGGAUUACAUGGAGCUGCAUUUCACCAAAGACAUUGUGGAGGCGGGACUGGCCGGGGACACCAAUCUCUACUACAUGGCACUCGUGGAAAGGGGCACAGCUAAGCUCCAGGCGGCCGUGGUGCUGAACCCUGGCUACUCCUCCAUCCCGCCCAUUUUCCAGCUCUGUCUGAACUGGAAAGGGGAGAAAACCAACAGCAACGAUGACAAUAUUCGGGCCAUGGAGAGCGAGGUCAACGUUUGCUACAAAGAGCUGUGUGGCCCCCGGCCCAGCCACCAGCUCUUGACCAACCAGCUGCAGCGCCUGUGCGUGCUGUUGGACGUCUACCUGGAGACGGAGAGCCACGACGACAGUGUGGAGGGGCCCAAGGAAUUUCCCCAGGAGAAGAUGUGUCUGAGGCUUUUCAGGGGUCCCAGCAGGAUGAAGCCGUUUAAAUAUAACCAUCCUCAAGGAUUCUUCAGCCAUCGCUGACCUCCCACUUAGCUAUUGUCCGCCUCCAGACCCCAGUACUGCACUUCUUUCUGAUCUGGCACACAUGUGGCUCUUGAUAUUCUCCAAAGACAGGUUUUCUAUUUGUAGCCUAUUAAAGUGUCACCUGACCGA